CUGAAUAACUACGCCUAUGGCAUGGUCUCGCACCGGCCACAUAUCCUUCAAGUGUCUGCCUUAUCAACUGUCGAAGGUAGUUUAUACCACUACCUUGGUGGUAACGGGUAACGGAGAAUUUGGGUUCGAUUCCGGAGAGGGAGCCUGAGAAACGGCUACCACAUCCAAGGAAGGCAGCAGGCGCGCAAAUUACCCACUCUCAGCUCGAGGAGGUAGUGACGAAAAAUAACAAGACAGUUCUCUAUGAGGUCUGUCAUCGGAAUGGGUACAAUCUAAACCCUUUAACGAGGAUCAAUUGGAGGGCAAGUCUGGUGCCAGCAGCCGCGGUAAUUCCAGCUCCAAUAGCGUAUAUUAAAGUUGUUGCGGUUAAAAAG
rnacentral:rRNA from 1 species